UACGGGGGGGGGUAAGCGUUGUUCGGAAUUACUGGGCGUAAAGGGCCAGUAGUCGGCCAACUAAGUCCGACGUGAAAUCCCAAGGCUUAACCUUGGAACUGCGUCGGAUACUGGAUGGCUUGAAUUCGGGAGAGGGAUGCAGAAUUCCAGGUGUAGCGGUGAAAUGCGUAGAUAUCUGGAGGAAUACCGGUGGCGAAGGCGGCAUCCUGGACCGACAUUGACGCUGAACGGCGAAAGCUAGGGGAGCAAACGGG
rnacentral:rRNA from 1 species